AGAACUAGGCAUCCAAGCCAUGUUCCCUCAAGGUCUGCAAUCCUGAUUUCAGAUAAUGGGCAUACUCUUCUGCAUUUCUGGGACUCACCGAGGUAUCGUCAAUGAAGACAAUAACGGAGUGAUCCAGAAAUCAAUUAAAACUCUGCUUAUGAGAUCCAUGAAUGCUGUAGGGGCGUUCAUUAACCCGAACGACAUUCCUAGAAGCUCAUAGUGCCCAUAUCUGGUUCUAAACACUGCUCUCUGUACAUCUUCUUCCUUGAUCUUAACUGAUGGUACCUAGACUUCAGAUCUAUCUUGGAAAGGCAACCAGCUCCUGCUAGCUGGCUUAAAAUAGAUCGUCGAUCCAAGGUAACAAAUACUUGUUCUGGUAGUGACUUUGCUCAACGACUAGUGGUCGACACAAAGUCCUAGGGAGCCAUCCUUCAUCCUCAUAACAACACUGGAACACCCCAAGGUGAAGUGCUCAGUCAGAUGGGAACCCUUAACUACCAACUCUUACAACUGAUCCUUAUAACUCUUUUAACUCUGUUGAUACCAUCCUGUGGGGAGGGAUAGAGAUUGGUCCAAUUCCAUGCAUUACUUCUAUUUUUAAACUCUAUCUCCCUGACAGGUGGUAGUCCUGGGAACUCAUCUGGGGAAACAUCUAAACUCUCU
rnacentral:lncRNA from 1 species